GAUUACGUAAUAACUCAUAACUGCGCUAUUAUAAAAGCCUGGGUAAACUAUUUUUUUGCGUGCCAACCAAAAAUACACAUACUAAUGAAAUUGAUAAAUAUAUAUUUGUGAAUAAUUAGAUAUGGCCCACGGGUUUUCAAAGAACGAGACAGAGAGAUAUACAUGUCUAAAAUGGUAUGACAUAUACAUGUCUGAAAUGAUAUAUACAUGCCUAAAAAUCCAAUUGAGGACUAUAAGUAUACAUUUGUGUAUAUACUGACACGUGCUGCUUUCAAAGCACGUGGCAAACACAUAUACUGUAUACAUGCUAUAAAACUAAUUCACAAUUGAUAAAUAUGUAUGGAUUUACAGUAGCUAUACGUUUGCUUUUUAACCCAUAAGAGUGUGGAAUGGACGAAGGCUUGUCAUUGUACGAAAUUGUAAAAUGUUAUAUUUAAAUGUUUACUGGGAUCGGUUAACUUGGUUUUCCGUGAGAAUACGUUGGUUAGCUAGCAACUGCCUUAUGUGCUUCGAAAUAGCGUUGUGAUACGGGCGCUGAAACUUUUCUUGGUAAACUUGGUAUGAAACGAACGCAUCAGCAGACCAAGGCUGGAAGGAGGUUGGGUGGUUUUUUUGAAACACAGUUGUUGGUUUUGGUGCUUUGGCAACCCUGGGGACGACAGUUCUGCCGUAGACAUGGCACAAUUGUUGCAUAGCUGUGUCGAAUUCAGCAGGCGUUACGGUUCUGAGAGCUGAUGGGGAGGCAGACUGCUUGAACGCUCGGUAAGUCAAAACUGGACCAGGGAAAGACAGAAUACCAGAUUUGAUGCGGUACUGGCUUGGUUGCUCUUUGACCUUUUCACAAGCCUCCUGGGUAAUGGACUGUAUAAACUAAGAACGUAAAGUGGAAAAACAUUAUUGAAGUUUACAAUCCGGCUCAUACUAUAAUCGGCUUGGGAAACUUUAAAUAUGUGUCUGACUUUUAAUGUACGUUAAUGGAUUGCGGGUUAUUUACGAGAACGAGGAAUCCAUGCAUAUAUGAUUUUGACAGCGGUAUAUAUAUGAAUCAUAAAAUAUCGCGAGUUUGUUUAAGUCUUAAUCUACAGGACUAUAGUUAUCAAUCAAUAUAGUUAUCUAUAGUUAUCAAUUGAGGGUUAUUUACGAGAACGAGGAAUCCAUAUAUGUUUCAGUUUCAGACAGCGGUGUCAAUCCUAGGAAUACGCUUUGAUAAUAUUGUGAGUUUUCUUGCGUGUAAACGCACAUUGUAGUAUUUGCUCGGAUAUGAAAUGUUAGUAAACUUAUAGUUCCAUGUAAUGACGCCUCAAGUACUAGAGGCAAAUGUUUAGAAAUGAAAUGAACUGUGUUAAAAGCGAGGGGCGCUCAAAACUCGGAAGGACGGCUGAAAAAAUUAAAGGAAGGACGGCUGAAAAAGCGUAUGAGUGAACGCGGACAUUAAUUGAUAUUUAGACGCGUUUUGUUUUAACGAAAGAAGUGUAUGGCGUUUAGUUUAUUGUUUUUAUAUUAUUAAAAUAAGAAGUAUACGUACGCUGUUUACGUAGAAUCAUGUUCGUAUCAUCGAAUAACGCAAAAAUAUAGCUUACCCAGGCUUUUAUAAUAGCGCGGUAGUAUAGUUAUCACGUAAUCAUUUUCACUUCGUAUCAUCGUAUCACGCAAAAAUAUAG
rnacentral:lncRNA from 1 species